AAAAAAAAAAGGGAAUAAACUUCUGACUAUGUCCAACAACGAGUAGAAAGCAAAUAAACAGACUAGUUAUUGCCUACCAGUAUUGUUUGCCCUGAUUGAUUAAGUUUCAUUCAUAAUAGGAAAUUAAACAUAUGCUAAUUCUUAGCCAAAAGCCACUCAAACCUCACAUGCAACCAAGAUCACGGGGAAGCCCUCUCCAAAUGCUACUGAACCAUAGCUCAUUGCAUUCCCAAAAAUACUCUUAUCUUUCUUCUUUCCAUUUUAAAAAGUUUGUCAAGCAUGCAACUUGGU
rnacentral:misc_RNA from 1 species